rnacentral:rRNA from 1 species
UCCGGUUGAUCCUGCCGGACCUGACUGCUAUCGGAUUGAUACUAAGCCAUGCGAGUCAUUGUAGUAAUACAAGGCAGACGGCUCAGUAACGCGUAGUCAACCUAACCUAUGGACGGGGAUAACCUCGGGAAACUGAGAAUAAUACCCGAUAGAACAUUAUGCCUGGAAUGGUUUAUGUUUCAAAUAAUUUAUUGCCGUAGGAUGGGACUGCGGCCUAUCAGUUUGUUGGUGAGGUAAUGGCCCACCAAGACUAUUACAGGUACGGGCUCUGAGAGGAGUAGCCCGGAGAUGGGUACUGAGACACGGACCCAGGCCCUAUGGGGCGCAGCAGGCGAGAAAACUUUGCAAUGUGCGAAAGCACGACAAGGUUAAUCCGAGUGGUUUCUGCUAAAGGAACCUUUUGCCAGUCCUAGAAACACUGGUGAAUAAGGGGUGGGCAAGUUCUGGUGUCAGCCGCCGCGGUAAAACCAGCACCUCAAGUGGUCAGGAUGAUUAUUGGGCCUAAAGCAUCCGUAGCCUGCUUUGUCAGUUUUCGGUUAAAUCCAUUCGCUCAACGAAUGGGCUGCCGGGAAUACUGCAAAGCUAGGGAGUGGGAGAGGUAGACGGUACUCGGUAGGAAGGGGUAAAAUCCUUUGAUCUAUUGAUGACCACCUGUGGCGAAGGCGGUCUACCAGAACACGUCCGACGGUGAGGGAUGAAAGCUGGGGGAGCAAACCGGAUUAGAUACCCGGGUAGUCCCAGCUGUAAACUAUGCAAACUCAGUGAUGCAUUGGCUUGAUGCCAAUGCAGUGCUGCAGGGAAGCCGUUAAGUUUGCCGCCUGGGAAGUACGUACGCAAGUAUGAAACUUAAAGGAAUUGGCGGGGGAGCACCACAAGGGGUGAAGCCUGCGGUUCAAUUGGAUUCAACGCCGGG